rnacentral:ncRNA from 1 species
CUACUCGACAUCUAUAGGGGAAGCACGGUUUUGGAUGGGGCCGCAAGAGCUGUACCAAAUUGAGGCAAACUCAUAAUACUAGAUAUGAUCUCAAAAUAACAGGAGUCAAGGCCGAAUAGUGAGACGAUGGGGGAUAAGCUUCAUCGUCAAGAGGGAAACAACUCGGGUCAACAGCUAAGGCCGUUGAAUGACUCCUCUGUAAUAAAAGAGGUAGUGGUGCAGAUACAGACGUGAGGUUUGCCUCGAAGCAACCACCGUUGAAAGAGUGCACAAUAGCUCACUGAUUGAGCUCUCUUGCGCCUAAGAUGAACGGGGCAAAGCGGUCUACCGAAGCUGUGGGAUGUAAAAAUAUGUCGGUGCGGGAG